GAGUGAGUAGGGAGGAGAGAUAUAGCAGCUGAGUCAGGGUGGGAGGUGGAGGGCAGGUUACUUAGAGCAUCUAAGGCCACUGUAAUUUUACUUUUCUUCUGAGAUAGACAUCUAUUGGAAGGAUUUAAGCAGAUGAUUUAACGUGAGGAACUCUGAGGUUGAUUUGAGUUUCUAAUAAAAAGAAAGAGGGAAAUCAUUCCACAAUGUAUAAUUUACUACCAUCGGUCUCACCCACAUACUCAUUUAUUUUUGAGACUUCAGGUUUUUAAGCAUUGCAGAUUCAUCAGGGGAGGAAUGACUAGUGGGCUGAAUAUGUUGUGUGAAUAACAAUACCAGUUUGGCAGGAAGAUAACACCUUCUGUAUCCUUAACUGGAUUCAGUAAUACACAGGAAUGUGUACACAUGAGGAAAAGAAGGUGAAUCGAUCUGUGUGGUGAUAUUUUUUAAAGUAUAUGCUUUAGAGUUAAAUAUUAUUAAUGGUUUAAUAAUAAGGUGAUUUGUAAAAUCAGUAACAAAAAUAACAUCAGGUAGCUGUGAGACAGCUUCAAUGAAAACGAGAUGAUGUCUUAAACAAACAAUCAGCAACAAAAGCUUUGCUGGAUGCUUCAUCGCGUCACUGCAUCUAUUUAGAAAAUGAGAUGCAGGAUUCAAGGAAGAAAUUAGACCAGAUGAGAAGUCAAUUUCAAGAAAUACAGGAUCAACUUACAGCUACUAUAAGAUGUACUAAGGAGAUGGAAGGUGACGCACAAAAGUAAAAUUUGAAGCAGCACACAAAAUAACUUGAGUAUUUAUAAAGCAAGAGAGCACUGUAGUAUGAAAAUUGUAUCAGUUAUGAUAAUAAGUAUGUCUUUGUGAAGCCAAAAAAGUUUCAUCUGUAAGCUAUAUUGACAUACAUCAUUUUUCUUCAUUAUUCCUAAAUUUUGCAUAUUAUCAACAAAACACAGGUAGAAAAAUGACACAGUAGCCCAGUCAUCUACUUUUGCGAUUGCUAAGAAUUUGUGUAAUUAUACCUUCAGAAGUUUGUUUAGAAUUUACAUGUUUUAAAAACAAUUAUAUGUGAGAGUAAUUAUUUUAAAAUGCACAUUUUAGGCUUGAAGUAGAAAAUGCCAUGAUGAGAAAAACGAUUAAAAAACAGGAUGACCAAAUUGAGCGGCUUGAGAAAAUCCUGCAGCGUUCAAGUUUGGUAAGCUGAUCUCUUAAUUUCUGUCAUACUGAAAAGGAAUUUUAUUUUUCCAGUAGGACGGGUUAAAUGUCCCUUGUCCAAAAUGCUUGGGACCAAAAGUAGAUUUUUUUCAGAUUUUGGAAUAUUUGUAUAUACCUAAUGAAAUAUCUUGGGGAUGGUACCUGAGUCUAAACAUGAAAUUCAUUUAUGUUUCAUAUAUACCUUAUGCACAUAGCCUGAAGCUAAUUCUCUACAAUGUUUUACAGUAAUUUUUUGCAGGUAACAAAGUUUUUACUGUUUUCCCCAGAGCCUGUCACAUGAGGUCAGGUGUGGAACGUUGUGUUGCAGUUGUGGUGUCAUGUCCGUGCUCAAAAAGUUUCAGGUUGUAGAGCAUUUUGGAUUUCAGAUUUUUAGAUUAGGGAUGAUCAAUCUACAGUACAGAUGCUCCUUGACUUGCAGUGGGUUUACAUGAUAAUGUCUCUUGUUUGACUGAAACAUUAUAAGUAAUAUUUGAUUUAUUUCAGAUGCUGCCAGGUGUUCAAGAGCUAGAUGAAGUGCUUGUCCUAGUACCUUAGCACAUGGUUGCUGAAUACAUGAAUGAAGAGUGAGAAACCAGAAGCUCUGAUACUUAACUGCCAUGAUAAUGAAAUCAGUGUGCAACUAUGGGCAAAUUAUAUUUAAUAGUAAUUGCAUAUUGUACAUAUUUUUCAUUCUUAUUAACACUUAUAAACUUUUCAACUUAUACUGACUUUCUCUCAGUUAACUGUGAAAUCAUUUAGAUAAAGAAUAUAAUUCUUUUUCAUUCUAACUUCUGAAUUUAAAUCUGAAUCCUCUAUAGCAGGGGUCCCCAACCCCCAGGCCACAGUCAGGUCCAUGGAGUAUACAGUUUAAGACCUCUGCUGUACAGCUAUACCUCCAUGCUUGCUUUCAGUGGCCAUGACACUUUAUUCAAAUAUGUAAGUUUUAUUAAGACUGAGUUCUUAAAAAGAAAAAACCAAGAACCUUAGAUACAACUAGUGAAGUAUUGAGACCUGUCCAUAUUUAAAACCAAGCACACGAUACCACUUAAAAGGUUCCCCAGAAAGCCUCUAUCCUGAAAUGCUUGAAAGUGAGCAGUGCUGACUCUCGAUUAUCACCAAUUGCAUUAAAUAUGACACUUGUUUUGUUUCUUUUGGCUAUAAGGAGAAAAUGUCAUUUUGUAUACGAGUGAGCACAGAGGAGAGAGAAUGCGGGAAAGAACAGAAUGGGCCAAUAAUUUUUUACUAAAUACUCCAGUUCUCAGCUUUUUAAAUCAACAGACAAAAUGAAUCACCUAAACCUAAAAUCUUUGUGAAUAGUAUAAAUUGUCUUUUAAAUUAAAUGCAUAUAUUUUUAUGUUUUACUUUUUCAAGACAAAAGCGGGAUAUUAGUACAAUAUAAGAUUUAUAGAGGAGCAAAUUUCUUGAGAUAGGAAACCCUUAAAAGCAGUAUUUAAAGUGCUUAAAUACUGUCACAUAUGUUUAAUAAUCAUAAUACUUAAUUGUGAGAACUAGGAGCUCAUGUUACUACUAAAACCAAAUAAAAAUUCAAUACAUAUUUGUUAACUCAAUUUAAGGAUGUUUACCU
rnacentral:lncRNA from 1 species